ACGAACUCUGGUAUUGAUUGGUGCUUGCAUCAUGAUUUACAUUUGAGUGAGUGGCGAACUGGUGAGUAACACGUGGGAAACCUGCCCAGAAGCGGGGGAUAACACCUGGAAACAGAUGCUAAUACCGCAUAACAACUUGGACCGCAUGGUCCGAGUUUGAAAGAUGGCUUCGGCUAUCACUUCUGGAUGGUCCCGCGGCGUAUUAGCUAGAUGGUGAGGUAACGGCUCACCAUGGCAAUGAUACGUAGCCGACCUGAGAGGGUAAUCGGCCACAUGGGACUGAGACACGGCCCAAACUCCUACGGGAGGCAGCAGUAGGGAAUCUUCCACAAUGGACGAAAGUCUGAUGGAGCAACGCCGCGUGAGUGAAGAAGGGUUUCGGCUCGUAAAACUCUGUUGUUAAAGAAGAACAUAUCUGAGAGUAACUGUUCAGGUAUUGACGGUAUUUAACCAGAAAGCCACGGCUAACUACGUGCCAGCAGCCGCGGUAAUACGUAGGUGGCAAGCGUUGUCCGGAUUUAUUGGGCGUAAAGCGAGCGCAGGCGGUUUUUUAAGUCUGAUGUGAAAGCCUUCGGCUCAACCGAAGAAGUGCAUCGGAAACUGGGAAACUUGAGUGCAGAAGAGGACAGUGGAACUCCAUGUGUAGCGGUGAAAUGCGUAGAUAUAUGGAAGAACACCAGUGGCGAAGGCGGCUGUCUGGUCUGUAACUGACGCUGAGGCUCGAAAGUAUGGGUAGCAAACAGGAUUAGAUACCCUGGUAGUCCAUACCGUAAACGAUGAAUGCUAAGUGUUGGAGGGUUUCCGCCCUUCAGUGCUGCAGCUAACGCAUUAAGCAUUCCGCCUGGGGAGUACGGCCGCAAGGCUGAAACUCAAAGG
rnacentral:rRNA from 1 species